rnacentral:lncRNA from 1 species
GCUAUAUUAAGGAUAAAUUACAACCACCCUUGAGGUAUGGUCAAAUUACGAAAAAAAUCUCUCAUAUUUGGUUAAUUACAUCUACCUUUCAACUAUGAAUCUUCUUACAUUUCCACCCUUAUGGUGUUAAAUUCAACAUAAUUAUCUAGAUUCCGUGUAAUGUUCUCUAGUUUGUACUCGUUUUGUGAAAAAUACAGUUUAGAUGCACUACAAUCUGAUAUAUACAAGCCAAAAAACACAUCUUAUGAACAUUUAACUUCAAAAUGUGGAGCUCGAAUGGGAUAAAACUAGUUUAAAAGUAAGAAUAUUUAAUAUAAUCUAGAAGAUUCCACUAAAUUUGCAACCGCAUGGGUGGACGAGUAAGAAGAUUUAUAAUUAAGGGGUAAUUGUAAUUACUGAAACAUGAGAGAAAUUUUCGUAAUUUGACCAUAGCUCAGGGGUGUCUGAGGUAGUAAUGUACCUAGGGGUGGAGAUCGGACCGAUCGGAUCGGAAUCCACCCCUUCGGAAAAUUUCCGAUUUUUUUCGGAAGUGAAAAAUCACUUCCGGUUCCGAUUCCGAAAAUUUCGGAGUCAAAAGGUCGUUCCGAUUUCGAUUGCGAAAAAAAAAUCGGAAUUUCGGAAUUUUCGGAAACAUCGUUGAUUAUGCCCGGCGACUGAAGCACGGAAGAAAAGCAACGGCCACGGCGGAGAUUUAUAGAGAAUAACGACAACUUUUGGCAGCAACUCCGGCGAUCUUGAGAAAAAGGACGGUUGUAUUUUGCAGCAAUUCCAGCCUCUGUUUCGCGAAGGAAAGAUAUGGAAGUUAAGUGUUAUGACUCAUAUGGUAGAGAAGAAGAGUCGGCGGUCGAAAGAAAAAAAAUAGUUCAGAGGAGGGAGCUGUUAGCGGCGCAAGAAGAAGUAGAAAAAAAAAGUUCAAAG